rnacentral:rRNA from 1 species
UCGGGAAUAUUGCGCAAUGGAGGAAACUCUGACGCAGUGACGCCGCGUAUGGGAAGAAGGUUUUCGGAUUGUAAACCAUUUUAGACAAGGAAGAAAAAAGACAGUACUUGUAGAAUAAACUCCGGCUAACUACGUGCCAGCAGCCGCGGUAAUACGUAGGGAGCAAGCGUUAUCCGGAUUUAUUGGGUGUAAAGGGUGCGUAGACGGGAAGGUAAGUUAGUUGUGAAAUCCCUCGGCUCAACUGAGGAACUGCGACAUAAACUGCUUUUCUUGAGUACUGGAGAGGAAAGUGGAAUUCCUAGUGUAGCGGUGAAAUGCGUAGAUAUUAGGAGGAACACCAGUGGCGAAGGCGACUUUCUGGACAGUAACUGACGUUGAGGCACGAAAGUGUGGGGAGCAAACAGGAUUAGAUACC